GACGAACGCUGGCGGCGUGCCUAAUACAUGCAAGUAGAACGCUGAAGAGAGGAGCUUGCUCUUCUUGGAUGAGUUGCGAACGGGUGAGUAACGCGUAGGUAACCUGCCUUGUAGCGGGGGAUAACUAUUGGAAACGAUAGCUAAUACCGCAUAACAAUGGAUGACACAUGUCAUUUAUUUGAAAGGGGCAAUUGCUCCACUACAAGAUGGACCUGCGUUGUAUUAGCUAGUAGGUGAGGUAACGGCUCACCUAGGCGACGAUACAUAGCCGACCUGAGAGGGUGAUCGGCCACACUGGGACUGAGACACGGCCCAGACUCCUACGGGAGGCAGCAGUAGGGAAUCUUCGGCAAUGGGGGCAACCCUGACCGAGCAACGCCGCGUGAGUGAAGAAGGUUUUCGGAUCGUAAAGCUCUGUUGUAAGUCAAGAACGAGUGUGAGAGUGGAAAAUUCACACUGUGACGGUAGCUUACCAGAAAGGGACGGCUAACUACGUGCCAGCAGCCGCGGUAAUACGUAGGUCCCGAGCGUUGUCCGGAUUUAUUGGGCGUAAAGCGAGCGCAGGCGGUUUGAUAAGUCUGAAGUUAAAGGCUGUGGCUCAACCAUAGUUCGCUUUGGAAACUGUCAAACUUGAGUGCAGAAGGGGAGAGUGGAAUUCCAUGUGUAGCGGUGAAAUGCGUAGAUAUAUGGAGGAACACCGGUGGCGAAAGCGGCUCUCUGGUCUGUAACUGACGCUGAGGCUCGAAAGCGUGGGGAGCGAACAGG
rnacentral:rRNA from 1 species